GACGAACGCUGGCGGCGUGCCUAAUACAUGCAAGUAGAACGCACAGUUUAUACCGUAGCUUGCUCCACCAUAGACUGUGAGUUGCGAACGGGUGAGUAACGCGUAGGUAACCUGCCUGGUAGCGGGGGAUAACUAUUGGAAACGAUAGCUAAUACCGCAUAAUAUUGAUUAUUGCAUGAUAAUUGAUUGACAGAUGCUAUUGCAUCACUACCAGCUGGACCUGCGUUGUAUUAGCUAGUAGGUGAGGUAACGGCUCACCUAGGCGACGAUACAUAGCCGACCUGAGAGGGUGAUCGGCCAACCUGGGACUGAGACACGGCCCAGACUCCUACGGGAGGCAGCAGUAGGGAAUCUUCGGCAAUGGACGAAAGUCUGACCGAGCAACGCCGCGUGAGUGAAGAAGGUUUUCGGAUCGUAAAGCUCUGUUGUAAGAGAAGAACGGGUGUGAGAGUGGAAAGUUCACACUGUGACGGUAUCUUACCAGAAAGGGACGGCUAACUACGUG
rnacentral:rRNA from 1 species